AGAAACUAUAGCAUUUUUUCGAUCGGAUGGUGUUCCUCAGUAGUGUCAUGAGGUGCAGGACUGAAUGUAAAUAUAGCAAAGACCAACGUAUGUGGCUUUGUGUAAGAAUCUCAGAAUCCAACGACGAACAAGAACUAGGCCAAUAAGCAGUAGCGCCGAGACAGCGCUAUCCACUCCACCAGAGACGCCCAGCACUACUCGUGAAAACCUUUUCGCCACCCCUGCCAUGUUGUCUUUUGUGAAGUGAGUGCCUCUUGUAAUUGGUGUCCCAACACUGGUCGUUGCAUAACACUUUCGUGACCAAUAGUACUACUGGUAUGGUUAGAAAUAUUUCCUUAGCCGAAGCUGGAUAAACAUGUACGUCAUAGUCGCUGAUCACUGAUGUCGUCAGGCUUGUACCAAAGACUAUAUACGAAAGAUAGGAAAGAGGACCGAAAUGUUGUGCUCAUUGGGUCCUAAAAGUGCUAUCAAAAUGGCAGCAAGGCACAGUGAGUGAUAUGCCUCAGAACCAAGAAAGAUCAUCCCCAAUUUGUAUACCAUUCAUUCCCAAAGGACAAAGAAAGGUGCUUGCAAUGGAUAAGUGUACCGGGGCUUGAGAAACUUAAAGGAAAAAGGAAAGAGCCCAGAAAAUAUAAGCAUAAACACCAAAUUAUGCAGCCACCAUUUUUUCCGAAGGCAAUUACACUGCAGGCAAGGCAACUUCAAGGCUUUGUAUAUAUGCAUGUCCAGAUAUUAACCGAGGUUUGUAUUAUAAUAUGUACAGUAUGUCAAAUAUCAAAUAUUGCAAAUAAAUAUGUUUGCAUGUGUACACGUCUGUAGACUUUAUUUUAUGAUGCACAUUUAUAUAUUUAUAUAUUUUGGGGGAAAAUAAACCAUAAAACAA